rnacentral:lncRNA from 1 species
CCUGUUUCCCCAGCACACCUGGCUCCUGCCCACCUCGGCCUGCCUCGUUCCUGCCAUCCACCUCAGCUGGCUCAGGGACACCUUCUCAGCCCUGGCCGGACACCUGUUUCUCUAUCACAUAGCUCCCUGCUUCUAUUUUCACUUUGGGAAACGUCUUUGAAAAAGUUGCCUGCUGUUCAUGUCUCCAGUUCUUAUCCUGCCUCAACCCACAGCAUCCUGGCAUCAGCCUCUACCAAGACGAGAAAACAAUGUUGACCAAGGUCACUGAUGAUGUCCAUACUAUGAAAGCCAGUGGAUGUGGCCCUUUCCUCUAUGUAUUUGUUAUCACACAGUAGCAAUUGUUCAUUGUUAACAAAAAA